rnacentral:rRNA from 1 species
UUUGAAAUCUGGCACCUUCGGUGUCCGAGUUGUAAUUUGAAGAAGGUAACUUUGGAGUCAGCUCUUGUCUAUGUUCCUUGGAACAGGACGUCACAGAGGGUGAGAAUCCCGUGCGAUGAGAUGUCUGAUUCUAUGUAAAGUGCUUUCGAAGAGUCGAGUUGUUUGGGAAUGCAGCUCUAAGUGGGUGGUAAAUUCCAUCUAAAGCUAAAUAUUGGCGAGAGACCGAUAGCGAACAAGUACAGUGAUGGAAAGAUGAAAAGAACUUUGAAAAGAGAGUGAAAAAGUACGUGAAAUUGUUGAAAGGGAAGGGUUUGAGAUCAGACUUGGUAUUUUGUAUGUCUUGCUUUCGGGUGGGGCCUCUACAGUUUACUGGGCCAGCAUCGGUUUGGACGGUAGGAUAAUGACAUUGGAAUGUGGCACCACUUCGGUGGUGUGUUAUAGACUUUGUUGAUACUGCCUGUCUAGACCGAGGACUGCGUCUUUGACUAGGAUGCUGGCAUAAUGAUCUUAAACCGC